AGUGAACGCUGGCGGUAGGCCUAACACAUGCAAGUCGAACGGCAGCACAGUAAGAGCUUGCUCUUACGGGUGGCGAGUGGCGGACGGGUGAGGAAUACAUCGGAAUCUACUUUUUCGUGGGGGAUAACGUAGGGAAACUUACGCUAAUACCGCAUACGACCUACGGGUGAAAGCAGGGGAUCUUCGGACCUUGCGCGAUUGAAUGAGCCGAUGUCGGAUUAGCUAGUUGGCGGGGUAAAGGCCCACCAAGGCGACGAUCCGUAGCUGGUCUGAGAGGAUGAUCACCCACACUGGAACUGAGACACGGUCCAUGCUCCUACGGGAGGCAGCAGUGGGGAAUAUUGGACAAUGGGCGCAAGCCUGACCCAGCCAUACCGCGUGUGUGAAGGAGGCCUUCGGGUUGUAAAGCCCUUUUGUUGGUAAAGAAAAGCAGCAGGUUAAGACCCCGCUGUUCUGACGGUACCCAAAGAAUAAGCACCGGCUAACUUCGUG
rnacentral:rRNA from 1 species